rnacentral:rRNA from 1 species
AUGAGUAAUGCAACUUUCUCCAUAUGUUCAUCGACUGUACGCGGCCUUGGUGACCAAGACAAAUGCUCCGACGUCCUCUCUGAACUAAUCUCAAUCAAUUCGCAUAUCGCCCUAUUACAAGAGUCCAAACUUGAUACGCUGCCUGAUCCGAAGCUAAGAUCAUUCAUGCCUCGUCAUCUUGAUCAAGUAUUCUCCUUACCAGCUGUAGGCAUUGCGGGUGGCACCAUCUCUGCCAUUAACCCCGCCUUGUUCCAAGUGAUCUCCUUCUCCCACCUCUCUUUCUCCUCAACCCUGAUCUUGCGAUCAACGACAACUGACCGUAACGUAGCCAUCACUAACAUUUACGCCCGCUCCUCACACGCUCUCAAGCAACAAUUCCUUGAUGAACUGUUAGCUAUCACCCAACCAGAUGACUCACCCUGGCUACUCGUCGGUGACUUCAACCUCCUUCGUUUCCCCUCAGACAAAAACAAUGAUGCAUUUAGACUGACAGAGGCCAACGCCUUCAACCAAACUAUUGUUGAGCUUGCCCUCAUCGAGUUACCACUUCUCGACCGCCAAUUUACUUGGACUAACAAUAGAACCACACCCACCCUAGAACGCAUCGACCGUGCCUUCUUCAACUUAGCUUGGGAUGAUGCCUUCCCCAACUCCUCCCUCACAUCCCUCACGUGUUUCACGUCUGAUCACGUCCCCGUCAUCAUCCACGUCACCACAACAAUCCCGCGCUCAAACUUCUUUAAAUUCGAACCUGAUUGGGCCAAAUUGCAGCCCUGA